rnacentral:rRNA from 1 species
UACGUAGGGUCCGAGCGUUGUCCGGAAUUAUUGGGCGUAAAGGGCUCGUAGGCGGUCUGUUGCGUCGGGAGUGAAAACUUACAGCUUAACUGUGAGCGUGCUUUCGAUACGGGCAGACUUGAGGCAUUCAGGGGAGAACGGAAUUCCUGGUGUAGCGGUGAAAUGCGCAGAUAUCAGGAGGAACACCGGUGGCGAAGGCGGUUCUCUGGGAAUGUCCUGGACGCUGAGGAGCGAAAGUGUGGGGGAGCGAACAGG